GAUGAAGAACGUAGCGAAAUGCGAUAAGUAAUGUGAAUUGCAGAAUUCAGUGAAUCAUCGAAUCUUUGAACGCACAUUGCGCCCCUUGGUAUUCCGAGGGGCAUGCCUGUUCGAGCGUCAUUAUAACCCCUCAAGCUCAGCUUGGUGUUGGGGCCUGCUGCACUGGCAGCCCUUAAAAUCAGUGGCGGCGCCAUCUGGCUCUAAGCGUAGUAAUUCUUCUCGCUAUGGAGUCCUGGUGGAUGCUUGCCAUCAACCCCCAAUUUUUCUAUGGUUGACCUCGAAUCAGGUAGGGAUACCCGCUGAACUUUAGCAUAUCAAUAAGCGGAGGA
rnacentral:misc_RNA from 1 species